UGCCCAGCAACUCCUAUCCCUACCUCCUCGUGGUACCGGCCGGAAACUAUGAGCAACCUUAGGGAAGAUCGGAUAACCAACCCCGGUGGGAACUUUGGUCGUAGGCUGACAGGGAAGG
rnacentral:ribozyme from 1 species